rnacentral:other from 1 species
CACACCCUGCGGUGCGCGUGAUAUUGCACUCUACGUUUUGAGCCAACACCCCCUAAAAGGGUCCUUAUCUUAACGGAAAUAACGCGAUAGGCCUGAGCCAAGGCGGCGUUUCCCGGUCAGGACCCACCUGCGAAAGCAGGUUCAAAACUUCGCAGUACACGGCACAGGCGGGGUACGC